AUGGGACACCCUGUAUAUAUAUACACGACGUUCCUAAAACGUUUGGCUAAACUUUGGCGAGGUAUAUUCUGUGCUGAAUCACACACUGCUAACGCACAAUUAUUAAUGUUUGCGAAAAGAACGCGUUCGCGGACCUGUAUUUGCGCGACACCACUGCGUCGAUGCGAUCUAUUGAAUGCGUCGGUACAAUUUCACAUUUCAGGAGCCCUCUGUACAUGUUCAAGCACACAAACACCUAUUGACCCAGUGGAGAAACGGGCACACAUGGAACAGACCUAAGGAGGUCAAAUUACGGCGACAUACACAUCACGUGUAUGUCGAUGGCGGUGGGCGAAUAUGGCGAAUUUGCCGUGGCGCCCCGUUGUUUCCCGUUGUUCCCCGUUUGCCGAUACCGACCCAAUUUCGAUGCGCAACCCCGCAGGUCAGGUCAAGUGUGAUGCUCUUUUGACGUAUUGCACCCCGACUUUCCGCGCGCUGUCCACGCACGUGAAUUAUGAUAGAUCCGUAUAACUGCCGCGUUUUUUUUCCGGCCUCCGUGAUUCGCAGGUAUUUCCAGCAAUUCCGACCGAUCCAAUUGCCCUCGACAAUUCCUGCCAAUCCGCCGCGUCUCGGGCGCGAUGGUUUACCCGAUGUAGGAGCUAUGCGAGUGCAUUGUGCGGCAAGAGCGGUUCUAUCAGAACCUCAAUAAUUGUGGUAGAAUGGCAUCGAUAAGACGUAGCAUUACCGAGACUCCUGCUCCUCGCUGACGACGCGAUAUAGAUAUAUACGCAAUUUCCGCCAUAAAUGCGCGCGACUGAGAGAGAACGGGGAGUCAAUUGCACCCGCUGAUAUUGUCCUCGGUUCUACCUUUUGUAUCUCACGUCGUAUGGAUUAUUCUCGUUGAACAGCGAUUACAUCUUACAAGAUCCGCGAAACGUAUGCGAAUUAAGCGAUCAAAGCGGUAUGCAUUAUAGAAUCAUGCAAGUGCGCGAGCAGAAUAAAUUCUGCCAAGUGAAUUGCACUUAAGACAAGUGGGGCAAAGUAGUUAAUCGCGCGCGUGUGAAUUGUAUUCAAAAUAUACGACAGUGUAAAUUAACAGCUCCGCGCGAACGUUAAUAAUGACUGCGCGUGAGGCAGGCUUAAUCAAUGAACGUAUAAAAAUCUCUCUGCUCGACUUUGCAAAUAGCGAAGGAGCGUAAGGACGCGAAACGUUGUAAAUGGAAUGAGCGCUCGAAAGAGAUUCCCAGCGCUCUCUUCCCUCUACGGGGCUGGUUGAAUGGCUUUUAUCGCCGAAGGGACACGAUCGCGGAAAGGAGGCCAGAGUUUCAUUUAAUAAUUACGAGCAGUUCAACGUACCGCGCGCCCCCGAUACGAGGGAUUUAAUCUACAAUGACGGUCGGUUUAAUUGAAUUGAGCAAUCACGUCGAAGUUAUAAAAUCACGGCUCGUAAUAAUCGCGGCGUAGUCGUAUCGGAACAAGCAUCGCAGGCGGGUUUUAUGCCGUAUUUGGAACGUGGGAUGACUUCUGUUGCUUUUGCGUCACGUGUGAAAUAUUGACGCGUGGCACAGAUCAAAAUUUCAUUCCGCUCUGCGAAGAAUGGAAUUACCAGCUUGCGUUUUGGCAGGCGCGUCGGCCGAGUGAUUAUUGUUAUUGUGCGAAAUCGAAUUGCGCUUAAUCGAGAUUCUGAUUUGCUCGGACGAAGCGGUUAAUUCGUGCGAUUGUCGCGCAACGGUGGAAAUAUUGAUCCACACGAAUAAGAAUUCGAGCGAGCGACGCGAUCGAUCGGCUUAUCCUGUGGAUUGAUUUUACCGCGGAUGGUCUUACGUCCGUAAUUAAAUCCGUUCGAUUUAAUUGAUUCCUUACUUCCUUUCCUUUGGAAUUGAAAAGGGACCAGGAGCUGAUUCAACACUGAUGAAAAUUAAUGGAUGCUAGCUACACGCAAAGCUAACGGGGCUGUUACUCGAGAAUCGCGCGUCCAAUUCAGUGGAAACCAAGAUCAUGCAAGAUUUUGACGGCAUUUACAACGGCAAAGUUACGUCAUAAACUUUUUCGACAGCGAUGCGUUCUUUUUUGCCAUCUAAGAUCAGACGGGAAGUCUUCAGAGGAAAAGUUCGCAGUCGAAGCAUGUGUGCGCGCGCGCGCGCAUGUACAUGCUGUAAGAACGCGAUAGAACUUGGUGAAGAAGUUACGCGGAUCCCCGAACUCGUUAUUCAAUGAAGUAGUCUUUGACGGCGACGAUGGAAGUUUAUGAAAUCGCGCGCACGGUAUACUUUGCGCUUUUCGCGACGACGCAGUCGAUGGACUGGCUCACGAGCUCACUGCGACGCCUCAAGUUUGCGCUUUUUUAACUUCCCGAGAGCACUCUGCGGAUUCAACGGUCCGUGGAGAACAGCGUGGUGCCGCAAUUCUCGAGAUUGUGUAUCGCGUGCUCACGUUCUGUCAAAAACGCAUUUGUUUUUUAAUGUUUUUAAAAAUAUAGGUUGUAACAUACAGUAUAUUAAAAAUACUAAAAAAACAGGACAAAUAUAUAUUAUUGUACAACCUAAUACGUUCUCGCAGAUGUGUCUCAUGAUUUAUAUCAAUUAAGAACAUAGCGGAAUGCGGAUUAAAGAAGUACUGAGAAAUUUCUUUUGCAGACAGAUUUCUUUUGCGGAUUUACCUGCUGACAUGAAAUUGGCAGACGCAAUUACGCAAAGCCUUUAUAAUUCGCAAAUUAUUAGCGGCGUUCAUCUGUUCGUUGGCAUUCUCGCGCUAUAGCACAUCUUAACAGCCAUUUGAAAGCCGUCGUAUCUCGCACCAGCCGCACGGAGAAAUGCGACACCCCUCUGCUCGCAACUUCGCAGAGGAGCGGCUGCGAGUCGGAAAUUAUCGAAAUAUCAAAUGGAACCUGGCGCAAACUGCGAACUCUUCCGAACAAAGAAAGGCUUCCAGGCUUUUGUCGCUUCGCGUCUGCCAGCUUCGAGCUAUGAAAGCCUCUCGCAGCGAAGGCGACGUAAUCCAUUGAAAAUGGAAAAUUGAAUUAUCGACUUUUCACCCCGAUCUCCAAGCCGAGCGCGGACUGUUUUAUUUUAAUAAAUAAUUCAUGCGUGACACAUGACGGUUAAUCGUGCGCUUUAAUCAUUUCCGUGUAACAUUCAUCAAAUAAAAUGAAAAAAAGAGAGGAAGAUGAUUUGCGCUCGAUGUGGUCGCGAAAAUUUCCGGAUUGUACAAAUACGUUCGAAUUUCUACGCGCAAAUAUUUACCUCUCCCGGGCAGAAGGUUUCGCCGUCGACGUUGGGCACUGGCGUUAGGAUCGUCGCGAAUUUUCAGUAAAAACAUAAGGGGUAAUUUGAUGAAAAUUUCGCGCGCGCUUGCCACCCUCCGUUCUCGUAUUUUAUGCAUCGAUCGGCUCGAGCCGAGUGCGUCAGCGUUUGUUUGUUUGCCGAACGCGCGUUCGCGCGAGCGCACAAAGGCGACGGCGGGAGUUUGGGGUGGCCUUUGUGCGCGGCGCAUUUGCGUUUCCUUCACGGAAAUCGGUAGCGUAUGCUCGCCGUGUUUCCGUAAUUCCGCGCGCGCGCGUGUUCGUCGACCGAAUCGCGAACAAAAUCGCGGUAACGGAAGCCCCGUUCCUCUCGAAGCCCGCUUCCCUCGCGUUCGAUCAUGCUCCCGAGUCCGCAAUCGAGCGUGCUUUCUGUCUAUCGCGGGUUCCCGGGCUUGUUCCUGACUACCGUUGACAGUGUCGUACGCGGGUAAGGUUAUUACGGUUAAGGGCUUUAAUCCAGUAGCAAGACUAAGAGCUUUAACCCCUUGACGGGUCGGAAGCCACCCGCCACCGUGCUCGAGCUUGAAGUGCCGCGCGAGGUACCGACCUGUGUUUUGGCCCUCCCAUUUUCUCCGGAUAAUGCGCUCCCCGUACCCGACUGCCGUCGACAUGUAUGCUUUAACUAGCUAAGUAGCGGCGCAUUCUUUACCGAGCCAAAUUGUACAAUUGUCCCCGGAAAAGCCGCGUGCUUCGCGCACAGAGAGAAGCCGGCCAGAUUAUUCCGCAAUUCGUAUUUAACGCCCAGUAUGCGCGCGCGGGCGUGCGCGCUCGGUGGAUUUCCGGUCAACGUAUCGCGGACCGGUAUCUUCCGGCCCUCAACGCCGCAGCGGUGUUUUUGUAUUCAAAUUUAGUCACUUGGAAUAUAAAAAGAAAUCGCGUUGGCUACACGGGCGUGUUAUGCGUUUCGGCAUUUUUUAUGCAAAUUGAAACGUAUGAACGAGAUGAACGAGCGAAAUGGCAACCUCGGUGGAACACCCAGUUUCCCCGGCUUAAGAGGGAGCAAGAGGGGCGCGCGGGUAAUUUGCGAAUUAACAAGCGCGUCGUCAGCCCCAGCGUCCGCUGUAGCUUUUAAUAAAAAUCAGCAGCACACUUUUGCGUCAACGCCGGAACAACGAACGUCGAUCUCUCUCUCUCUCUCUCUCGCUCUCUCUUCCUGUUUUUAAUUGCUCGCCUCUGGGAUCAGCCGCUGGCUGCUGACCUCGUUUUUUUAAAUUUAUUUUUCGUCCUUUACCCUUUUCCCUCUUUCCCUCUCGUGCCCCUCUCUUCUCUUUCUGUCCACAGAAUCUCUGAAUUUGACAGGGGCAGUGUGUCAUCGUCGGACAGUUUACACGGCACCGCCGAAUGGACGGACAUAUACGGGCAUAUACACCCCAUGUAAUAUAACGGAUUACGAUGCGUUACGCGAUGCGAUACGCGAUACCGAUGGUCGCGCCGGGCUGACCGAACGAAAUUACAUGCCUUCCAGAACGAACUUUACGGCCCAUCACCGCGGCACGUGCGUCCAGUAUUUAUUUUAUAUGCAAUGUACGCGCACGCGCUCAAACACAGCCCGAUUUUACGAUUUGGCAGUGCCAAAAAAUUUGUCCUUUAUCAAGCCCACGCCCACGCGCGCGCACUGCCAAGUGACCUCCCUUGAUUUUAAGUUUUCCGUUAUCGCAACUGCGUUUCAAUCAUGAUUCGUUUGGCUUGCGAGGAACGCGGUGGAUUCGUUGUCGAAGCGGCUUUAUGCGAUGAUCAUCUGCAAAUAUCAGAUUAGGAUCAGUUUAAAUUUACAUUUGGGGGUGUCACAUAGUUGGUACUAAAGUUGUAGAAUAAAUAGAGCGAUAUGUAGGUAAGAUAUAAUUUUUCUAACUCCGAAAUUGUAGUUUCCAAUAUUUGCUUGCAAGAUGAGAAAAGAAUUUGAAAUAUCGAUUUAUUCCACAGAAAUGUUACAAAAAUGUUCGAUAAAUAAGUAAAUGAAUAAAAUUUAUAUUCGACUUUACUCUGCAUUAUUUUCUAUUUCACAUUGCGAAAAUAAGCAAGUCAAGCCUUCGUAUUGCAGAAUUAAUUAUUUUCGCUGAUAAAAAUCUACAUAUAUCGUGGUCCAUAUCACAUCCGAUACUGAUCCCAAGAUGCUCCCAAGUGCUCGGAAAAUGUUCUAAAAGUAGCAGGUGCUGAAUAUUACAAAACUAUAUUACACUCGUAUUACUAACGGCCUGAAGUUGUUGCUCUCUCCGAAAGAAAGAGAAAGAAAAUGUAACUUAUUAAAUUAGCUGUUUGACUUUAUUGCAUAUAAUUUUUGUAUAAUUACGUAAUUGUCACGCGAUUUAUUCGUCGGCAAUUUCAUCCAUGAUCGAAAAGCUUCGCGUGUGAAACCGAGAAUCUGAACACUUGGUGGACAUUCAUGAUAACGCCCUAAUUGCACUCGCUUCGAGUAUACUGGCCAAGAAUACGUGAGCGCGCGAGCUCGAUACAAAUGUUAGAACUAAUAACCAACUUCUGCUGCCGCAGAAUAUGUAUCUGCCAGAGUAUAUAGUCUUCCGAAACUAUCCAUGACAGUCGGCCGAAACCACACUGACGGUCUGGAAUUUUGGAGCUAUCUAGGUUCGUUGCUCGGUCGUUGUAGUUGCAGUUGUGCUACGUUUUCGGCACAUAGCGGGAAUUAUUAAAUAUCAACGAUGAUCGAAUUCUGAUGAUGAUCGGGCAUCAAAUUAAGUUUCCAUUUCGCAAAAAUAAGUACGUAUUGCUACGCCAAAUGUCAUUGUCACUUUCCGAAAACAUCCUUAUUAGAGUUUCCUGUUUGACUCUAUGCAACGCGAUUUUACCCAAUUUUCGAAUUAAAAUUUUUAUUUCAGAGAUUAAGAGUGCUACCUAAACGCUUAAUUUAAUUCAAGACGUAAGGUCUCAGUUGAUAAUUUUCACAAAACAUUUCGUUUCGUAAUUUCUUUUUUCUGCUCUCGCCGGACAGACAAAAGAACUUGGACUAGUAAAUGGAUAUCCCUGAAUCUGCCUGGGAUCACUCGUAGCGUCCAUUUGCUGGCUGCCGUGUACCGGCCGUCAUGGGAAAUUUAUACGCGAAUACAUGGGCGAGCGAUAAGACUCAGGGGCGAUGAUUUACAUUCGCAUUCCGUGUUCGAUUGUAGUCGUACGAUCAAAUGGAAAUCGAGUCGCGCACGCGACUGUCGCCGAUGCUCGUGGUCACAGCGCCAAUAACUCGUCGUACGUACGUAGAGCCUGGCUUCGACGCGGGCCUUAGAACCAAUAACGAAGGCCGGAAAGCGCGCGCAAACGAGCGAGCGGGCGGGCGACCUCGCAAAACUGUCCGCGGCAGUUGGCUGACCCGAACAGCGGAUGUAGUUUUGGGAAUCUUCAUUUACGGCUCGCGGCAGCAGUUGAGCUCUCUCCCUUCCCCCACCUUCUCUCUCUCCUCUCCUCUUCGCUGCGGAUCCUCUUUCUCCCUCGUUCCUGUCCUCUCGCAGCAGAACGUCCUGGAAAGCACGGUGGUAGGUGACGGAGGUGGUUGCGCGCGAGGCGGACGAACCGAUGGCGGAGGGGCCGAGGGGGUGCAGGGGAUGGUGAACGGCGCGCAGUCGGGGGGAUAGGUAGUAGGUAGGUCGGAAUCGCGCGCGGCGAGAACCUACAGACGUCAGAGUAAAUGCAAUUACCCUGCACCCUAUGUAGCAAACUAAGUUAAACUUGUGACCGGGGCUUGGCCCAAACUGUUUGCAUUAUGUAUCCGUGGUCCCGGCCUUAUGUGCCACAUGCUGCACGCCCGUUACAGGCGCAUCCUCUUUCUGCCUGCCUUGCCUUGCCUUGCUCUACCUUGCCUUGCCUUGCCUGUUGGCUCACACGUACGCACGUCUACGAAGGUGCCGCCCGUCGUUGUCGUAUAUCGUUUCACGACUGCAGCUUUACGUCGCAUACCGACCUGGUCCUUACUGGUGUGAACGAAUCGCGCGCGAACGCAUUAUCACCGUAUGCGCGUAAGUGUGUACGUGCAUGCACGUAUACGUGCCAAAGAGCGGCAAGUGGCGGAGCACAGAAUUCGAUCGAGAUGUACCGUGCCACGACGAAACUUCAGGAACUCCGCUUCCGAAGCUUGCGCGCGACCGCUAUCAACUUUAGUCAACCGGGAGUCGUCUCACUAACACCGGCGCAGUCCCCUGGUCGUCGUUUUCGUCCUCGUCGUUCUCGUCGUCAUCGUGCGGACAAGAUUUACCACUUAAGCCGAGCUUUCUUCCGUGGGGGAGAAGCCACCGAAAGGGACCGGACAUAAAGGGUGCGCGCGGCCGAUCGAUGGCAAAAGAGAGCCUCGCGGCGUCGCUUUCUCGCAUCUUUUUCACGAGCAGAAGUAUUAAAUCGUGAGAAGAGCACAUGGUGCGCCGGGAUGAGAAGCCGUAGUUUCGCGACGACUUCCGAUCGCCGAGGUGUCGUCAAGUAUGAUUCCCCUCGUGUCGGGAUCGGCGUUUACAUGCUCGUCAUUGCGUGACGCUCGCGGAAACAGCCGUGAUUGCGUUCGCGAAAAGUUCCGCCUGUCUCCGUCUCGAAAAAUUUCGUCGCUCCGCGAAGGAAACAAUAAACGGUGAAGCAAUCGCGGUUCCCUUCAUGCAAACGAACUGAUAAAUUUAGUGCGAGCAAUUUACAUUUUUACACAAUCCUACCCUUAAUAACGUGAAAUUGGGGAGCGGUCGCGUUAAUCUGAUUUUCUGAUUGGAUAUAAUGUAAAUCAAGUACUUCGAAAUUGCAAUUUCACUCGAAAA